UGUACUUUCAAGUUGUAUCCUGGGUCUUCUUAUUCCUAUAAUCUGCAUUCUGGUGUUAUGUGCGCACGGUCAAUUAAAAGACGAUAACCAUAUUUUCACAUCAAAACCAUAUACAAUUCUUAGCGAUCAGUUACAACAUCUGAAUGCUGAGAUAGAACGAUACAUGGGUUUGGUUGAAGUAUUACAGAAUGAUAAGAACCAGUUCUUGCAAAGGGAGAAAGAAAUGUGUGCAAAAGGAGAAUCCGUCGACAAUAUUAAACAAUCCAUUACCGCUUAUGAGGCCAAAAUCGAAGAACUGGAACAUCAGAUUCUAAAAUCCAUGGCUGAGAAGAAUGAUCUUGAGAUCAAAGUUGAGGAAUCAUUGCAGGAUUCAGGUA